rnacentral:rRNA from 1 species
GAGCCUGAGAAACGGCUACCACAUCCAAGGAAGGCAGCAGGCGCGCAAAUUACCCACUCCCGGCACGGGGAGGUAGUGACGAAAAAUAACAAUACGGGACUCUUUUGAGACCCCGUAAUUGGAAUGAGUACACUCUAAAUCCUUUAACGAGGAUCUAUUGGAGGGCAAGUCUGGUGCCAGCAGCCGCGGUAAUUCCAGCUCCAAUAGCGUAUAUUAAAGUUGUUGCGGUUAAAAAGCUCGUAGUUGGAUCUCAGUUCCAGACGGGCGGUCCGCCUAACGGUGGUUACUGCCUGGCCUGAACAGCCAGCCGGUUUCCCUAGAUGAUCUUCACCGGUUGUCUUGGGUGACCGGCACGUUUACUUUGAAAAAAUUAGAGUGCUCAAAGCAGGCGUGUAGCCUGAAUAAUGGUGCAUGGAAUAAUGGAAUAGGACUUCGUUUCUAUUUUGUUGGUUUUCGGAACACGAGGUAAUGAUUAAGAGGGACAGACGGGGGCAUUCGUAUUGCGACGCUAGAGGUGAAAUUCUUGGACCGUCGCAAGACGAACUACU